UAUUGGUCAAUGGGCUUACGCCUGAACCAGCCAAGUCGCGUGAGGGAAGACUGCCCUAUGGGUUGUAAACCUCUUUUGUCAGGGAGCAAUUGGCGCUACGUGUAGCGUUAUCGAGAGUACCUGAAGAAAAAGCAUCGGCUAACUCCGUGCCAGCAGCCGCGGUAAUACGGAGGAUGCGAGCGUUAUCCGGAUUUAUUGGGUUUAAAGGGUGCGUAGGCGGGCUUUUAAGUCAGCGGUAAAAAUUCGGGGCUCAACCCCGUCCGGCCGUUGAAACUGGGGGCCUUGAGUGGGCGAGAAGAAGGCGGAAUGCGUGGUGUAGCGGUGAAAUGCAUAGAUAUCACGCAGAACGCCGAUUGCGAAGGCAGCUUACCGGCGCUCAACUGACGCUGAGGCACGAAAGUGCGGGUAUCG
rnacentral:rRNA from 1 species